GACGAACGCUGGCGGCGUGCUUAACACAUGCAAGUCGAACGGAAAGGCCCUGCUUUUGUGGGGUGCUCGAGUGGCGAACGGGUGAGUAACACGUGAGUAACCUGCCCUUGACUUUGGGAUAACUUCAGGAAACUGGGGCUCAUACCGGAUAGAAGCUCCUGCUGCAUGUUGUGGGUUGGAAAGUUUCGGCGGUUGGGGAUGGACUCGCGGCUUAUCAGCUUGUUGGUGGGGUAGUGGCUUACCAAGGCUUUGACGGGUAGCCGGCCUGAGAGGGUGACCGGCCACAUUGGGACUGAGAGACGGCCCAGAAUCCUACGGGAGGCAGCAGGGGGGAAUAUUGCACAAUGGGCGGAAGCCUGAUGCAGAAACGCCGCGUGCGGGAUGACGGCCUUCGGGUUGUAAACCGCUUUCGCAUGUGACGAAGCGUGAGUGACGGUAAUGGGUAAAGAAGCACCGGCUAACUACGUG
rnacentral:rRNA from 1 species